GUUUUAAUAGUUUAAAUAAAAACAUCGGUCUUGUAAACCGAAAUUAAACCCCCCUUUUUAAAACU
rnacentral:tRNA from 1 species